GUUGCCCCUAGAGGCACUGCAGGUGUGGCUACUGUGUUACAUGUGUGUCAGUGGGUGGUAGAGAGGAGAGGGGCUAUGGUCUACAGUGGGGGUUCUGACCUGUGAAAAUCUGGAUCAUUAGUUGCCUAACAUC
rnacentral:snoRNA from 1 species